UAGCUCAGUGGUCGAGCACUCGCUUCGCAAGCGAGAGGUCGGUGGUUCGAUCCCACU
rnacentral:tRNA from 1 species